AGGACUAUAGCUCAAUUGGUAAGAGCACUACGUUGACAUCGUGGAGGUCAGUGGUUCAAAUCCGCUUAGUCCUA
rnacentral:tRNA from 1 species